rnacentral:rRNA from 1 species
CAGGAUUAGAUACCCUGGUAGUCCACGCUGUAAACGAUGAUCACUCGUUGUUGGCGAUACAUAGUCAGCGACCAAGCGAAAGCAUUAAGUGAUCCACCUGGGGAGUACGACCGCAAGGUUGAAACUCAAAGGAAUUGACGGGGGCCCGCACAAGCGGAGGAACAUGUGGUUUAAUUCGAUGAUACGCGAGGAACCUUACCUGGGCUUGAAUGUAGAAUGCUGUCCCGAGAAAUCGGGAUUCCCUUCGGGGCGUUUUACAAGGUGCUGCAUGGUUGUCGUCAGCUCGUGCCGUGAGGUGUCGGGUUAAGUCCCAUAACGAGCGCAACCCUUAUCGUUAGUUGCCAGCGGGUAAUGCCGGGGACUCUAGCGAAACUGCCGGUGUAAACCGAGAGGAAGGUGGGGAUGACGUCAAAUCAGCACGGCCCUUAUGUCCAGGGCUACACACGUGUUACAAUGGCCGGUACAGAGGGCAGCUACCAUGCGAAUGGAUGCAAAUCUCGAAAGCCGGUCUCAGUUCGGAUUGAAGUCUGCAACUCGACUUCAUGAAGCUGGAUUCGCUAGUAAUCGCGCAUCAGCCAUGGCGCGGUGAAUACGUUCCCGGGCCUUGUACACACCGCCCGUCAAGCCAUGGAAGCUGGGGGUACCUGAAGUCUGUAACCGCAAGGAGCGGCCUAGGGUAAAACUAGUGACUGGGGCUAAGUCGUAACAAGGUAACCAAGGGC